rnacentral:rRNA from 1 species
UUAACACAUGCAAGUCGAGGGGCAGCAUGGUCUUAGCUUGCUAAGGCCGAUGGCGACCGGCGCACGGGUGAGUAACGCGUAUCCAACCUGCCUUACACUCUUGGACAGCCUUCUGAAAGGGAGAUUAAUACAAGAUGUUAUCAUGAGUAAGCAUUUUCGCAUGAUUAAAGGUUUACCGGUGUAAGAUGGGGAUGCGUUCCAUUAGAUAGUAGGCGGGGUAACGGCCCACCUAGUCUUCGAUGGAUAGGGGUUCUGAGAGGAAGGUCCCCCACAUUGGAACUGAGACACGGUCCAAACUCCUACGGGAGGCAGCAGUGAGGAAUAUUGGUCAAUGGACGAGAGUCUGAACCAGCCAAGUAGCGUGAAGGAUGAAGGUUCUAUGGAUUGUAAACUUCUUUUAUACGGGAAUAAACGAAUCCACGUGUGGAUUUUUGCAUGUACCGUAUGAAUAAGGAUCGGCUAACUCCGUGCCAGCAGCCGCGGUAAUACGGAGGAUCCGAGCGUUAUCCGGAUUUAUUGGGUUUAAAGGGAGCGUAGAUGGGUUGUUAAGUCAGUUGUGAAAGUUUGCGGCUCAACCGUAAAAUUGCAAUUGAUACUGGCAGUCUUGAGUACAGUUGAGGUAGGCGGAAUUCGUGGUGUAGCGGUGAAAUGCUUAGAUAUCACGAAGAACUCCGAUUGCGAAGGCAGCUUACUAACCUGUAACUGACAUUGAUGCUCGAAAGUGUGGGUAUCAAACAGGAUUAGAUACCCUGGUAGUCCACACGGUAAACGAUGAAUACUCGCUGUAGGCGAUAUACAGUCUGCGGCCAAGCGAAAGCAUUAAGUAUUCCACCUGGGGAGUACGCCGGCAACGGUGAAACUCAAAGGAAUUGACGGGGGCCCGCACAAGCGGAGGAACAUGUGGUUUAAUUCGAUGAUACGCGAGGAACCUUACCCGGGCUUAAAUUGCAACCGAAUAUGGCGGAAACGCUAUAGCUAGCAAUAGCGGUUGUGAAGGUGCUGCAUGGUUGUCGUCAGCUCGUGCCGUGAGGUGUCGGCUUAAGUGCCAUAACGAGCGCAACCCUUGCCGAUAGUUACUAACAGGUCAUGCUGAGGACUCUGUCGGGACUGCCAUCGUAAGAUGUGAGGAAGGUGGGGAUGACGUCAAAUCAGCACGGCCCUUACGUCCGGGGCUACACACGUGUUACAAUGGGGGGUACAGAGGGCUGCUACCACGCAAGUGGAUGCCAAUCCCAAAAACCUCUCUCAGUUCGGAUUGAAGUCUGCAACCCGACUUCAUGAAGCUGGAUUCGCUAGUAAUCGCGCAUCAGCCACGGCGCGGUGAAUACGUUCCCGGGCCUUGUACACACCGCCCGUCAAGCCAUGGGAGCCGGGGGUACCUGAAGUGCGUAACCGCAAGGAGCGCCCUAGGGUAAAACUGGUGACUGGGGCUAAGUC